rnacentral:rRNA from 1 species
GACGAACGCUGGCGGCGUGCCUAAUACAUGCAAGUUGAGCGCUGACGGAUGGUACUUGUACCCACUGGAUGAGCAGCGAACGGGUGAGUAACGCGUGGGGAAUCUGCCUUUGAGCGGGGGACAACAUUUGGAAACGAAUGCUAAUACCGCAUAAAAACUUUAAACACAGGAUUUAAGUUUGAAAGAUGCAUUUGCAUCACUCAAAGAUGAUCCCGCGUUGGAGUAGCUAGUUGGUGAGGUAAAGGCUCACCAAGGCGAUGAUACAUAGCCGACCUGAGAGGGUGAUCGGCCACAUUGGGACUGAGACACGGCCCAAACUCCUACGGGAGGCAGCAGUAGGGAAUCUUCGGCAAUGGACGAAAGUCUGACCGAGCAACGCCGCGUGAGUGAAGAAGGUUUUCGGAUCGUAAAACUCUGUUGGUAGAGAAGAACGUUGGUGAGAGUGGAAAGCUCAUCAAGUGACGGUAACUACCCAGAAAGGGACGGCUAACUACGUG